CGAGUGGGUGUUUGGAACCCUUUAAAAAAAAAAAAACCUAUCCCUCCUUUGUUGCCAUAGUAACCAGACUGUAUCAUCAUCUCUUUGUCCCAGUCAUGCAGCAAUGUGGCCCAGUAUUGCGCUUUAGACGGCGUCGGUGACAGAAAGGAUCUGCCAUUUGACUUAAGAUCUUAGAUUGUGAUUGCCAAGAUAAUGUGAGAAUGCAAAUCCCAUGGUCAAUAUCUCAACACAGUCCAAACUACCUGGAGAUGGUGAGAGCUGUAGCCCUACACCUCCUGGAAGGCAAUGAACUGCAGCCUCCCCUAUUUAGAUUCUAAGUUUCCCAAGGUAGGAACCUGCCCUCUUUCUUGAUCUUUAUAAAAGGAAAUGCACACAAAUGGGUUAACAUUGGUUAUAACCACAAAGGAAGUUAAUCAAAAUCAUUAUAAUUUACUUUCAACAUAUCAUGCUCAAUGUUUGCAGAAGAGAAAGGUUGACAAUUAUAUUUGUUUGAAUAAGAACUUUAAUAAAAUUCUUAUAUUGUUAAUUUUUUGAGCAAACAUUUUGGUUUUCCUUAUUACAAACCUAUGUGUUUGUGUCCCCCUACCGGAAUGAAUGAGCUAUUGCAAUAAAAUGAUUUGAUAAGAUGACAAGACUGUUUCAGGUGUCCUUAACCAGUUAUCUGCCAAACAUAAGAAUGGUAACCCUUUAGUAAGUACAGCCAAAAUGUAUACUGAAUACAAGAUGCACCCAAAUGACAGGAAAAAACUGCCCAAGGCGCAUAUUAUAAGGAAGUGUCUGAUAGAUGGUGAUGAGAAAGAAAAUAGCAAUUAUCUCCACUGUGAAGGAAAAGAGAGGAUAUGGGAGUGAAAUUGGACUAGAGUAGCAUGUAUGUGGCCUGGAAUGUAAGGUAAGUCCAAGAGGAAAACCAUGCUUUGUUUCCUUCUCUAUAUUAUCAUUUUGUUGGUUAUUAGAUAUAUGCUCUGACUUUCUACCAACAAAUGAUCAAGUAUAUGUAUGUAAUUCGACAUAAAAAUCAAGACUAAAAAUGUAAUUAAAAUUCAUCAAUUAAAGAAAAGCACUACCAUCCAAAAAUCUUUUAUGAACUCAGAAUUGGGGAGUUCUCUCCACCACCCAGUCACCAUUUGGCCUGGAUUCCAUACAUUUUAUAUGAGGUUAAGUGUACACAUGACAAACGUUGUUCAAGUACCCAUGUCAGAUACACAAAUAUAAUAGAAUUUCGUAAUAAUAAAAUAAGAAGGGGACUCAGAGCAGAAUAAUAAGUAUAGCACCCUCUAGGGGCCACAUUUAGAUGAAAACCCAAAUUGUGGCACACUACGUGAUACUACAUAAAACAAAAGAGAAACGCUCAAGUCACAACAGCAAGUCACAAGAGAUCACCUCAAAACUGAGGUGCAAAGUGUCAAGAAUAUAAGAACCACUAUGCUGGAUUAGACUAAAGUCUUGCCUAGUCUACAUUCUGAUCGAAUAAUGGUCAACCAUAACCUGGGUAUGAAUUGUGUCAAAUGGUAAUCCCUUUUUAAGAUGUAAGCACAAUUAUUGCUCAUUACUUCUAGAUAAGCCCUCCAAACUAUCAUCCAAACGAGCUGGUUAACAUUUAUGGCAAUUUAAAUUUCAAAACUCUUACUGCAGGAGAGCUGUGUUGUUGUUUUUCGGUUUUGUUUUUAUUUUAAUGAAACCAUUUUCACAUUUUGGACAUUUUCAAAUUUUAUUUGCAACUAUUGCAAUUACAAAGAAAUAUAUCAAUGUAAGUUUGCAUUUAAAGUGACAAUCCUCAAUUUCAUAAACAAGGUCACAAAUAAGUGAGUAGCUCAUUUGGCCUUUAAGUGGCUUCCAUUAUAUGGAAAUGUCCCUGUAUGACAAAUUUAUUUGUCAGUUUUACAGUAUUUCAGUCUUAUAAUUCCUCAACAUAUUUGUGAUAAAAAUUACUAUAUGAUUUGACAUUUUGAUGUUAUUUUACAGUUUCUAACCACAUUGAUAUUUUUUUUCUUUACAUGUGGGAAGAAAGACUGGAAUUUAUUAUAUGAUUUUGCUCCUCCCUUGCCAAAACCCUCAGGUAUGAAUUAGAAAUCAAAAGCAAAUAUUUAAGUUGAAAAUGAAGUUUGGUUAUCCAUGCUAAUAUCCCUGUUCAGCCCUCAGAAGAGAGGAAAAAUGCACUGUUACAAAGCAAGGUUUUAUCAAAUUUAGUCCAGUUUAUUUUGAAUUGUUUUCAAUAAAUACAAAAAAACCAUCUUAGCAUGUGAGUCCAAUUUAAAAGACUACUAACAGGGAAGGUGGAUUAAAAGCCAAGCUUUGAUAGUUCUACCUUUUAGUAAAAGGCAUUCAAUGUUAAAUCACCACUUUGUUUAACACAUGGUCCCGCAAUCAUUUUAUGCACACAGUUUUAUUCUUAGGAAUAAAUCCUGUAUGAUUUGCUGAUUUUGUAUGCCUAAAUAUGUUUUAAGUCAUUGAGAAACUGAGAAAUACGUGUAUUCUGCUUAAACCUGGAGCAAAAUUCCCCUCCCUGUAGGUACAUUAAGUCUCAAAAGAUUAGCCAUCAUGACAAUAUGGAAUGAAGCCAAGUGAAGGCAGGAUGCCAAUUUCUGAAGUCAAAAGGAACAAGACAGAGGUUUAAAAGCUAUGAAUAAUCUGUUUCAGAAAUGUUUGUAAUGCCACUGCAAAAAAUCUCUGUAAAACAGAAACUUCAAAGGAUGUUAAUUUUGCCUUCCAAAAUGUUGUAAAACAAAUCUUCUAAUAUGAAAAGUUUAUUUAAAGAUUGCUUCUACUUAAUAAUAGCAUCUCUUAAUAUAUUGGACCAAAAGUCAAUCAGACAACAUAGCCCACACUUCUGGACACUUAGGAUAAAAAAGCUUUUAUUUUCAGUUCGAAUAAAUGCACCUUCCUGU